UUGUCCUACGGGAGGCAGCAGUGAGGAAUAUUGGUCAAUGGACGAGAGUCUGAACCAGCCAAGUAGCGUGAAGGAUGACUGCCCUAUGGGUUGUAAACUUCGUUUAUAUGGGAAAAAAACAGGGUAGGCAUACCCGCUUGUAGGGACCAUAUGAAUAAGGAUCGGCUAACUCCGGGACAGCAGCCGCGGUAAUACGGAGGAUCCGAGCGUUAUCCGGAUUUAUUGGGUUUAAAGGGAGCGUAGGUGGAUUGUUAAGUCAGUUGGGAAAGUUUGCGGCUCAACCGUAAAAUUGCAG
rnacentral:rRNA from 1 species